GUUCCGUAGGUGAACCUGCGGAAGGAUCAUUAUUGUAUAACCGAGGUGCGAGGGCUGUCGCUGACCCGAAAGGUCGUGCACGCCCGAGUGCCCUCACACACAUCCAUCUCACCCCUAUGUGCACCACCGCGUGGGUCCCCCUUUGGCUUGUUCGGAGGGGGGCUUACGUUUUCACACAAACUUUGUAUGCAGUGUAGAAUGUAUUUUUUGUUUUUGCGAUCACGCAAUCAAUACAACUCUCAACAACGGAUCUCUUGGCUCUC
rnacentral:misc_RNA from 1 species